CACGAACGCUGGCGGCAGGCUUAACACAUGCAAGUCGAGCGCCCCGCAAGGGGAGCGGCAGACGGGUGAGUAACGCGUGGGAAUCUACCCAUCACUACGGAACAACUCCGGGAAACUGGAGCUAAUACCGUAUACGUCCUUCGGGAGAAAGAUUUAUCGGUGAUGGAUGAGCCCGCGUUGGAUUAGCUAGUUGGUGGGGUAAUGGCCCACCAAGGCGACGAUCCAUAGCUGGUCUGAGAGGAUGAUCAGCCACACUGGGACUGAGACACGGCCCAGACUCCUACGGGAGGCAGCAGUGGGGAAUAUUGGACAAUGGGCGCAAGCCUGAUCCAGCCAUGCCGCGUGAGUGAUGAAGGCCCUAGGGUUGUAAAGCUCUUUCACCGGUGAAGAUAAUGACGGUAACCGGAGAAGAAGCCCCGGCUAACUUCGUGCCAGCCGCCGCAGUAAAAC
rnacentral:rRNA from 1 species